AUUGAACGCUGGCGGCAGGCCUAACACAUGCAAGUCGAGCGGAUGAAGGGAGCUUGCUCCUGGAUUCAGCGGCGGACGGGUGAGUAAUGCCUAGGAAUCUGCCUGGUAGUGGGGGAUAACGUCCGGAAACGGGCGCUAAUACCGCAUACGUCCUGAGGGAGAAAGUGGGGGAUCUUCGGACCUCACGCUAUCAGAUGAGCCUAGGUCGGAUUAGCUAGUUGGUGGGGUAAAGGCCUACCAAGGCGACGAUCCGUAACUGGUCUGAGAGGAUGAUCAGUCACACUGGAACUGAGACACGGUCCAGACUCCUACGGGAGGCAGCAGUGGGGAAUAUUCGACAAUGGGCGAAAGCCUGAUCCAGCCAAGCCGCGUGUGUGAAGAAGGUCUUCGGAUUGUAAAGCACUUUAAGUUGGGAGGAAGGGCAGUAGGUUAAUACCUUGCUGUUUUGACGUUACCAACAGAAUAAGCACCGGCUAACUUCGUG
rnacentral:rRNA from 1 species